CCCCUUCUAAAAGCACUUGCUUGGUCUGUGUUCAGUGGUCUGGUGAGUUGUCGUAGAAGGGUACAGCAAAAGUGCUGCUUUUGGGUGAGGUGGCUGCUACAUGUGCUGUUAACCUCAAUCGGUGGCAUGACAGUU
rnacentral:snoRNA from 1 species